rnacentral:rRNA from 1 species
CCUACGGGAGGCAGCAGUGGGGAAUAUUGGACAAUGGGCGAAAGCCUGAUCCAGCAAUGCCGCGUGAGUGAUGAAGGCCUUAGGGUUGUAAAGCUCUUUUACCAGGGAUGAUAAUGACAGUACCUGGAGAAUAAGCUCCGGCUAACUCCGUGCCAGCAGCCGCGGUAAUACGGAGGGAGCUAGCGUUGUUCGGAAUUACUGGGCGUAAAGCGUACGUAGGCGGUUAUUCAAGUCAGAGGUGAAAGCCUGGAGCUCAACUCCAGAACUGCCUUUGAAACUAGAUAGCUAGAAUCUUGGAGAGGUGAGUGGAAUUCCGAGUGUAGAGGUGAAAUUCGUAGAUAUUCGGAAGAACACCAGUGGCGAAGGCGACUCACUGGACAAGUAUUGACGCUGAGGUACGAAAGCGUGGGGAGCAAACAGGAUUAGAUACCCUGGUAGUCCACGCCGUAAACGAUGAUAACUAGCUGUUCGGGCUCUACGAGCUUGAGUGGCGCAGCUACGACAUUAAGUUAUCCGUCCGUCGGGAGGUACGGUCGCGAAGAAUUAAACUAACAAUAGAAGUUAGUACGGACGUGAGACGUCGCCGACGGACGACGACGAGGGAGGUUAGG